UGCCAGCGGUGUCCGAGCCGUUCUCGGUGCUGCUCCUGCCCAGCCCCGGAGCUGCUGCUUCUGCCAGGAGCUGGGAGCCGGGCUGGGGGUGACAGCACGCGUCACCAAACCCGCCCUGACUGCGGACACCACCGGCGUGCACAUGGAACACCUGCCCGAGCGCGCUCCUGACACCUGUGCCACACACUGUCACACAUCCCUGAGCUCUCCCUAGGACCUGCCGCUGUGGAACCUCUGCAAGGAACCUGCACGUACAGUCUGCAGAAUAAAAGAGAGAAAACUGUCAUGUGCAAACACGGCCAGGUUUGGAUACCCCUCGGGAGAGCAGAUGGAAAGAGCAUGUUGAGGUGCAGCCAGCGGUAUCAGUGACUCGUCUGGUGUUGGUGCCCAGAGCACUGCAAGAUCAUUUCCAUGGCUUCCUGGGGUCACCACAGCCCUUGGGUCUGGCUGUGGCACGACGGAGCCGAGUGCCUGUCCCGACAGCCAGAGGCACAGCCCCAGCCAGGGCCCCUCGAGCUGUGCUGUGUUCAGUCUAAACUCAUCAGGCCCUGGACACUUGCAUUUUCAUUUGUGUUUGAAACGGAAAUAGUUUUUAGGGAGAACUCUAGCAACAGAAAAGUUGCUUCCCAGGCACAGCUUUUGCUCCCUGGGCAUCACCUUCCACAGCAGAUGGUCCUGGCGGGCUGGAGAGCAGCCAAGGGGCUCAGGGCACCUCCCAGGUGUUGUAGCCUGGCCGGGGCUCUGCCUGGCAUGCAGGUCUGCCUGCUGCAAGCUCUGUCCAGAUAUGCUUCACCAUCCCUUUCAAGGCUGGGGGCUUGAGAGGGGUCAGUUCUGUUCAGAAAACCAGGCAGGCCUCAAUAACCUCUUCUGAAUGUCUUAAGGAACUGUCACAACUUUACUUGGGAAGUCAUAUCAGCUGCCUUGGGAGGAAAACCUGAAACCUGAUGAGGGAAUCCUGAAAUGAAUGUCACUUGUCUACUAGGUGACCUGAAUUGGAAACACCUCCCUUCUUGGCAGUGCCAGCUGAGGUAUUCCUUAUCCUAAACUCAGUUUCAGUCAGAAAAGACACAAGGUGAUGGGUUCGUUUUGUUUGGUUUUUUUUAGGUGAAGUCUAGCAAGAGUUUGCUACUUCUUCAGAACUGAAUGGUGUGGACAGACCUAAUGAUAAAGUGUGUUAACUUAUGUGGGUUAUAGGUAACACUGGAGUAAUUAAUUAAUCCUGCUAUAUUCAAAGACACACUUUGGAGCUUUGCUUUAUGCAAAAAUCCUCUUAUGUCCCAAAUGUCAAUAACCAAAUUACCUUCCACUAUAAGUUUUACCAAAUUACAGAAAAAUUAAUCAAAUCCUUAGGAAUUCUUGCUUAAAUCCUGAUGAAAGCACAGGUGGUGACAGCUGUUGGAACCAUAGCUUGAUUUCGAUCCUGUUUAUGCAGGAGGCAAUUAGUUCACCAGGCUGAUGCUGCUGGAGUUCUGCUGGCACAAUGUAAGCAACACCAGCUGUAGAAUCUUUAAUCGUUGGUAUUCAGUGCCUAGAGAGUAAUUCCUUGGGAGGUUUUUUCCAUGGUCACUUCCAAGUUCUUGCAGCCAGACCGAGCUUCCCUUCACUGAGGCCAGACUUGUUCCUGUGCACUUUUCUGAGGGCUGCUGCCAGGUACUGGUGACGGCUGCUUAGGGCUUGGACAUAACUCCAGAGCUCUCCCAGGAGGAACAGUCAGGACUGGUUUUCCUCCUUUUGUAUUGUAUUUAUUCACACCAAGCCUCACCUGUCCCUUUACCUGCCAUUUUCCACCAUUGUGAGGCUUCCCCCUGGCAGUGUCACCUCGUGGCUCACUGCCUCCUCCAAAUGGUGCACGGACAAGAUCUGGCACAGCCGUGUGGGGAGCUGGUAUUUGCUGUCAGGGACUCCAGCAGAACGUUCCUGUGGCAGGGGGGAGCUGCAGGCAGAGUCGAUUGUGGUGACAGCCCCAUGAUUCAGUUGCACAGGUCAGGCUGUCACUGCUGUCCCUGGGACUCACAUCCCCACCCAGUUCCUCUGCUCGUGUGUCCAGCAGCGGGGCUGGGAGGUGGCAGGGGCAAGGACCCUCCAGGGAGAGCCAGCCCAUGCCAGGGGAUCCCAGCUGAUCCAGCAUGGCCGAGCACACCACAAACCACGGAGCAGCUGCCACGCACUCGUGUGUUAGCACAGCUCCUCAGUGGAGGUUUUGCAAAAUAUUUAUUGCAAAAUAAAAGAAAUAUGGCAACAAAACUUAAAUAGCAAAUGACAAGA